GUACUUGUUUCAGCAGUACAUAUACUAAUAUUCGAAUGAUACAGAGAAUAUUAGUAUGGCCCCUGCGCAAGAAUGACAUGCGUGGUUGUAUGGUAAAAGGUUUGCUU
rfam:Octopus bimaculoides Scaffold18515_contig_99, whole genome shotgun sequence.